CAGAGUAAGGCUGUGCGCGUCAAGUGCCGCAUCAACGGGGAGUUGUGCUGCGGACGAAGGGGGAAUGGCCCCCGCGGUGUGCAGCCUGCAUCCCGCUGC
rnacentral:ncRNA from 1 species